UUUUUUAAUUGGAAACUGGAAUGAAUGAUAUAAACUAAAAGGAAUGUUUUAUUAAAAGAAUUUUGAAUUUAAAUUAAAAGUAAAAAUGCUUUUGUAAAUCUUUGGGACGAGAAGACCCUAGAAGCUUAAUAAUUGAUAAUUUUAAAUUGGGGUAAUAUUUGAAGAAAAUAAUUUUUAAUUGAUUUAUUUACAUAUUUAAGGAGAAGUUACUUUAGGGAUAACAGCGUUAUUUAAUUAACGAGUUCUUAUUAAUAAUUAAGUUUGCGACCUCGAUGUUGAAUUAAAAUUUAAUUUUUGGUGAAGAAGCUAAAAAAUUUAGUCUGUUCGACUAUUAAAUUUUUACGUGAUCUGAGU
rnacentral:rRNA from 1 species